GAAUUCGUAGCUCAGUUGGUAGAGCAGGACCCUCUUAAGGUCAAGGUCCCGGGUUCGAGCCCCGGCGGAUUCACCA
rnacentral:tRNA from 1 species